GAAGAGAAAACAACACUAUUAAAAACAAGAUCUUCAGAAAUAAGACAGAAGAGCCACUAUCAAUAUCUGUCUUUUUUAUUCACCUUUUCCCUCUGAGAAUUGAAGGCCAGUCCCAUGACUGUGUGACAAAACUUGCCAAUGCAUGUCACUGAGAGAUGAAAGCCAAGGUCUACUUAAGGGACCAGGAGAUAAAGGCCAGGAGGAGAAAGGAAAGCUGUGGAGAGUUCUGCAUAGAGCUGGAGAGACUUCCAGCUGGAGAGCUGCUCUGGGAAAAAGCUUGGACACUGGGAAAGGUGGAAAAUGCCUGGGAGAAAUGAGUCUGUUGGCAGGA